rnacentral:rRNA from 1 species
CGCGGCCUAUCAGCUUGUUGGUGGGGUAAUGGCCUACCAAGGCUUCGACGGGUAGCCGGCCUGGGAGGGUGACCGGCCACACUGGGACUGAGACACGGCCCAGACUCCUACGGGAGGCAGCAGUGGGGAAUAUUGGACAAUGGGCGGAAGCCUGAUCCAGCAACGCCGCGUGAGGGAUGACGGCCUUCGGGUUGUAAACCUCUUUCAGUACCGACGAAGCGCCCGUUGUGGGUGGUGACGGUAGGUACAGAAGAAGCACCGGCCAACUACGUGCCAGCAGCCGCGGUAAUACGUAGGGUGCGAGCGUUGUCCGGAAUUAUUGGGCGUAAAGGGCUCGUAGGCGGUUUGUCGCGUCGGGAGUGAAAACACCGGGCUUAACUCGGUGCUUGCUUUCGAUACGGGCAGACUAGAGGUAUGCAGGGGAGAACGGAAUUCCUGGUGUAGCGGUGAAAUGCGCAGAUAUCAGGAGGAACACCGGUGGCGAAGGCGGUUCUCUGGGCAUUACCUGACGCUGAGGAGCGAAAGUGUGGGGAGCGAACAGGAUUAGAUACCCUGGUAGUCCACACCGUAAACGUUGGGCGCUAGGUGUGGGGCCUAUUCCAUGGGUUCCGUGCCGCAGCUAACGCAUUAAGCGCCCCGCCUGGGGAGUACGG